UUAAUAACUAUGAACAGGAAAAGUAUUUAAGAUAUAUGCUUACAGAGAGUAGGGGAUGAUGGGAACCCUAUAGCUAAACCUUAAAGAAAAUCACCUGGGAGUUGAAAACUGAAAAGGCUUUUUGCUGAGUAAGUUUAUCCGUGAUUUCGCGUUAAGAAAUAGAGUAUGUUAGUACUUGAAGUGUGAAUUUUCAUAGGUGGUUAUUAUGCUACGUCCUUAUG
rnacentral:ncRNA from 1 species